CAGCCGCCGCGGGAAUACGAAGGGGGCUAGCGUUGUUCGGAAUUACUGGGCGUAAAGAGUGCGUAGGUGGUUAAUUAAGUUAUCUGUGAAAUUCCUGGGCUUAACCUGGGCAGGUCAGAUAAUACUGGUUAACUCGAGUAUGGGAGAGGGUAGUGGAAUUUCCGGUGUAGCGGUGAAAUGCGUAGAAAUCGGAAGGAACACCAGUGGCGAAGGCGGCUACCUGGCCUAAUACUGACACUGACGCUGAGGCGCGAAAGCGUGGGGAGCAAACAGGAUUAGAUACCCCGGUAGUCCCUGUCUC
rnacentral:rRNA from 1 species